AAGUUCGCUGAGUUCCAUUUGGGAAACGGGGGAACCGUGAAGCGGAAGCCGGAAGUUUCGGACUUUCCGCAGGUUUUAGGGGUGAAUCGCAAGGGGGACGCGACUGUUCCUUCUCGCGUAGGGCGACUCUCGCGCCCGAAUCCGUCAGCUAACCUCGUAAGCGUUGAAGAGAGA
rnacentral:sRNA from 1 species